UCUGCCACUGCAGCUCUAAGGAAGCAGAUAUACUUUCUCCUGGCCUCUGUGAGCAUCAGAACCACAUUUUUAAAUUUAAUCUUUAAAAGUAAUAAAAUCUUCUUGAAGUACCUUUUAUUGUUUGGCAACUUAUACAUGUCUACCAUGUAUCUUGAGCAUGUGCGCCCCGUAGUCCAUGUCCCACAGGUUUAAUAACCUAGUGAGGAAAUUGGCUACAGAAGUCCUGGAGCAUCCUGAGCUAACAAACCUGCAAAGUAGGCUAGGCUAAAAUCACAGCCACCUGUUUUCAGGAUGUGAUCUACAGUCUUUGCUGCCCUUCCAGAGCAUCACCCAACAGGCUUGGCUUGGUUAUUAUCCUAAAAGGGAGUUAAUGGUGUAAACCUUUUGCAAAUUAACACUCAUCUGGAAAAAGUAUUUACAAGUUUUAGAACCAGACGUGACAGUUGCCCUUUCUUCCGUGCACCUUCCACAGGAAAGAGAUCUGCUGUUCUCUUGCAGUAGCCCCCACUGCCAACACAUGCACACAUAGCACCUGUUAUGUUAGCUGACUCAAAAUGGAGGGAAAACAUAUAUUUUCAUAUGUGAGAGAGGAAGUCUUCACUGUGUCAUGAAAGCAGUCUCUGGCAUCAGUCUCAAAGACUGACGUCCCAUUUGCAGGAGUUAUUGCACUGCAGAGUCAGUGGUGAAUUGGUGUGAAUAACUCCCACAGCUCUUUAGUCUCAUGUCCUUUGGAUUGUGUACAACGGUCACUUUGAUACGCCCAUCGUGGUUUGACUGCUAUCUACCUUUCCUAAUGUUUCUUAUGUUUAAAAUGGACCACAUAGAAAUAGCACCUUAGAUUUGUAUGUACCUGACUAGGUACUGUGCUUUUCUAAUAGGUUCCAAACGUUUAAAUGUUACAUAGUAACUGAGAUAAGCUGUAGAGAGCUUACUUGUAUUCAGCAUACUUUAAUAAGUCUUACUCAGUUUCUACUCAGAGCUCUGCAGACUACUGGACAACAUGAAGCCAGACCUUAGGGUUUUUGUGGACCCUCUGGCUCUGUGAAGUUGCACAUUAAAAACAAACAACGCUGUACUGAGUACUCUUCAGUUUGGAUACGUCAAGUGUGACACACAGCCCAACUAGGAAGAGCCAGGCGGAACCAACGCCUGGUGAAGGUCCUAGUGUUCAAUGCCAUUCCUGACAGAAAUUCAAGUGAGGUCCCAAACUCAGGGUCAACAGUCAGGUUAUACCCCUCACUGUGAUAAGCUGCUCCCAGAUGGUCCAAGUCUCUGUUGAUAGCAGUGAGCACUGGGUGGGAAGGACAGGAUGUCUCCUUCUGCCUUCAACAAUAGUCCAAAGUCAAUAAUUUGAAGUAGUUAUUUUGUUAUUUUACCUUGUUAGCUACUAUGCC
rnacentral:lncRNA from 1 species